UACGUAGGGAGCAAGCGUUGUCCGGAUUUAUUGGGCGUAAAGAGCUCGUAGGUGGCUUGGCAAGUCAGGUGUGAAAACUCCAGGCUCAACCUGGAGACGCCACUCGAUACUGGCGUGACUAGAGUUCGGUAGGGGAUCACGGAAUUCCUGGUGUAGGCGGUGAAAUGCGCAGAGUAUCAGGAGGAACACCGGUGGCGAAGGCGGUGAUCUGGGCCGACACUGACGCUGUAGAGCGAAAGCGUGGGGAGCGAACAGG
rnacentral:rRNA from 1 species